AACCUUAUGGACCUGCGGGCGUAUACCUGCGGAAGGAUCAUUACACAAUAAACAUAUGAAGGCUGCACCGCCAACAGGCGGCAAGGCUGGAGUAUUUUAUUACCCUUGUCUUUUGCGCACUUGUUGUUUCCUGGGCGGGUUCGCCCGCCUCCAGGACCACAUGAUAAACCUUUUUUAUGCAGUUGCAAUCAGCGUCAGUACAACAAAUGUAAAUCAUUUACAACUUUCAACAACGGAUCU
rnacentral:misc_RNA from 1 species